ACACAUGCAGUCGAGCGGAAGAAGGGAGCUUGCUCCCGGAUUUAGCGGCGGACGGGUGAGUAACACCUGGGAAUCUGCCUGAUAGUGGGGGAUAACGUCCGGAAACGGGCGCUAAUACCGCGUACGUCCUACGGGAGAAAGCAGGGGAUCUUCGGACCUUGCGCUAUCAGAUGAGCCCAGGUCGGAUUAGCUUGUUGGUGAGGUAAUGGCUCACCAAGGCGACGAUCCGUAACUGGUCUGAGAGGAUGAUCAGUCACACUGGAACUGAGACACGGUCCAGACUCCUACGGGAGGCAGCAGUGGGGAAUAUUGGACAAUGGGGGCAACCCUGAUCCAGCCAUGCCGCGUGUGUGAAGAAGGUCUUCGGAUUGUAAAGCACUUUAAGUUGGGAGGAAGGGCUUUAGGCUAAUACCCUGAAGUUUUGACGUUACCGACAGAAUAAGCACCGGCUAACUCUGUGCCAGCAGCCGCGGUAAUACAGAGGGUGCAAGCGUUAAUCGGAAUUACUGGGCGUAAAGCGCGCGUAGGUGGUUCAGUAAGAUGGGUGUGAAAUCCCCGGGCUCAACCUGGGAACUGCAUCCAUAACUGCUGGGCUAGAGUACGGUAGAGGGUAGUGGAAUUUCCUGUGUAGCGGUGAAAUGCGUAGAUAUAGGAAGGAACACCAGUGGCGAAGGCGACUACCUGGACUGAUACUGACACUGAGGUGCGAAAGCGUGGGGAGCAAACAGGAUUAGAUACCCUGGUAGUCCACGCCGUAAACGAUGUCAACUAGCCGUUGGGAACCUUGAGUUCUUAGUGGC
rnacentral:rRNA from 1 species